UUCUAAAACUCCAGCAGUUCAGUCACUCCCAGGUAAUCAAACAAGGCAUGAGCUGGGAAAACUUAGUGAACGUUCUGCAACGGUGGGGGAUGGAUUAGCCGGCUGCUCGCUGCUCCUCUUAAUCGGCACAUUUAGAAGACAAAAGAGAGGUGAGAACGGUUUUAAGGUGGGCCGGAUCUACGAGUUUUUUCGUAGACUCUGGUAAUUCCAGUGUUAAAUCUCUUCACUAGACCAUCAGUUUGAGGAUGAUACACUGUGGUCUUUAGAUGCUUUAUUUUCAGUAAUCUGGCCAUUUCCCUGAAUGUCUGCGAAGUGAAAGGCAUCCCUUGGUCCAUUAGGACUUCUUUAGGGAUGCCACUCCUGCAAAGACCCCUACCAAUUCCCAUGCAGUAGCUUUAGAAGUGGCUGAGCACAACAGAACAGCUUUGGGAUACUGGGUAGCAUAAUCUACUAGUACUAACAUAUAUUUGUGUCCUCUAGCUGAGGGUUCCAGGGGUCCUAUUAAGUCGACCCCAGUCCUUUCAAACGGAACAUCAAUUAGGGGAAGACGAACAAGAGGAGCAUGGUCCCUCGUAGGAAUUUGUUGCAACUGACACUCUGGGUAGGACGUGCAAAAGUGGCGAACCUCCUCAUUAAUUCCCGGCCAAUAAAAUUGAAGCUUAAUCCACUCCAAAGUUUUCUCGGUACCCAGAUGGCCUCCUAGGAACUGGGUGUGUCCUAACUCAAAAACCUGCUGCCGGAAGUGAUGUCAUUAGGACCUGCACCAGAAGUGACGUCAUCAGGCCCAGAAACGGCAGUGAUGUAAUCAGGCCCAGAAAUGGAAGUGACAUCAUCAGGGCUGGAAACAGAAGUGGCAUCUUCAGAAUCAGGUGGAAUUUCCCAUGAUAGGUCUGCAGUGGAAAGACAGAAAGAGUCAGUACACUCUGCCACCCCCUGGUCUGGCAUGGAAUUACCCUCAUUCAGGCCCUUUAACUGCCUCCCAUGCGCACGUGUGUAACAGCGCAAAUGUGUGCCCUGUAGUGGACUGGUCCUAACUUCACCCAGUGCUUCCAGACCUCCAUCAUGAUUAUUGAAAUAAAUGUUUUAAAAUUAUUUUUGUUAUUGUUUAUUUGGCAGAUGCCUAUGUUCAAAGUGACUUACAAAAAUGAUAAAAUAUACAUAAUAAAGAAAUGUGCCUGUGCUCUGCGCUGGUUAUCUCAGAGGAGCUACAUAAGAGUAAGUUGUACAGAACAUAUGUAAUUGCUGUAUGUGCAAAGGUGAAGCUGCUGAAGUGCACACCACAAUGUUGCUGACCCAGUGCCUACCUUUUGACUCAUUGAGUGACUCUGAGCAAGUCACUUACCCAACCUGCACUCACCUGAUUAGUAAAAUAAUUGUAAUAUUGUAUUGAAAAAGAAAGGAAAAUAAUCUAGAUUAAGAGUUCAUUAUAUUACUACUUCUAUAUAAUAAAACAUCCCCAGUAUUUUCCAAUUAUUAAUAACUAACAGCAGCACCCAACAUGGCAAAAGGUAAGUCAUUUUAAGGCAGAACUAUUUCUCUUUCAUAAAUGGUGUUUCUUAAAGUAUACCCUUUGUUUUGUUUUUGUUUUUUUUUUGUUUCAAUGCUCCAAAUCUGGGAAAAUGCAUUGUCAUUAAAACUCAACAUAAUAAAAAUACUCCCCACCCUUUUUCCCAAAGGUACCCCGACAGUCAAAAUUGUGGGUUCCAAAGUAGCCUAAUGUCUCUUCCUGAAAAAGUGUGAUGUGUGUGAAAUUUUCUUGAGGGUGUGGAAUUUUAAAAAACAACAACCACACAUACUCAAAUCAAUAUAUAAGAUGUAUAGUUAUUCUAAUAUAUA